GAAAAUGUUUUUUUUCCCUUGUUUUAACAUCGUAAUAUUUUAAAGCACACAAUCCAAAUACAGUGUUUUAGUUUCACUAUACUGACGAUUGACAUCGCAUCUGUCUAUGUUUUAAACCGUUUAUACCAGUCUGGAUAGUUACAUUUUAGCAGUUAACACCAUAGAACCACCAUAUUCAUCCAUUGAUAUUACAUGAAAUCUACCAUAUCUUCCAGUAUGAUUUACUCUUCGAAAAUGAAAGCGAGUAUUAUUUGGUUCAUAAUCAUUGCAAACCAUGCGAAAGGCAUAUGCUGUAAAGCGUGUUGUGACGACGGAUGGAUAUCGUACAAGUCCCAUUGUUAUUUGAUAGGACAUAAAGAACGAACGUUUAUGGAAGCACAUCACUUUUGUAAUCAACAAGGCGCGUAUCUAGUCCGAAUUGAUAACUACUUGGAGAAUAAGUUUCUUAAAGAUCUCCUUAGAAAUUUGAAAG